UUCAACAAGAGAAUAUACCUAGUAUUUUGUUUUCUCUAUAAAAGCACAUCGAUCCCAUCAUAAAAAUUAUCAUUUACAAAGCAAUAUUUACUAGAAUUUUUUCAAAACGAAAUGACGUUCAAUCACUUAGCUUAAGCAUCCUUGUCGUUAGCCAAGCUAGAGUCACCAGUACCCAUGUCCGAGUAUCUGAGCCAUCUAAAAAAAUGUCACUCGAAACAUUUCCUCCUCCGGCCGGUUAUAACGCUCCUGAACAAGUAAUUUUCAAUUUUUCUUUAUAA
rnacentral:sRNA from 1 species